GACGAACGCUGGCGGCGUGCUUAACACAUGCAAGUCGAACGGAAAGGCCUCUUUCGGGGGGUACUCGAGUGGCGAACGGGUGAGUAACACGUGAGUAACCUGCCCUUGACUUUGGGAUAACUUCAGGAAACUGGGGCUAAUACCGGAUAGGAGCUCCUGCUGCAUGGUGGGGGUUGGAAAGUUUCGGCGGUUGGGGAUGGACUCGCGGCUUAUCAGCUUGUUGGUGGGGUAGUGGCUUACCAAGGCUUUGACGGGUAGCCGGCCUGAGAGGGUGACCGGACACAUUGGGACUGAGAUACGGCCCAGACUCCUACGGGAGGCAGCAGUGGGGAAUAUUGCACAAUGGGUGGAAGCCUGAUGCAGCAACGCCGUGUGCGGGAUGACGGCCUUCGGGUUGUAAACCGCUUUCGCUCAUGACGAAGCUUUGUGUGACGGUAGUGGGUAAAGAAGCACCGGCUAACUACGUG
rnacentral:rRNA from 1 species